UAUGGCUUAGUGGUAGAGUACUUGCCUAACAUGCAUGAAGCUCUGAGUUCCAUUCCUCAGUA
rnacentral:tRNA from 1 species